CAGUCAACAGAAAUCAAAUAUCCUUCUAUGGAGAAUAAACUUGGCUUAAUUCCUUCACACUGCAUCUGCUUACACAUUUGAAACGUGGUAUUUACCUUCACUAAUCAAGCAUAACACCCGAUAAUGGCAGUCCAGAUUCAUCAACAAUAUGGACGUUAAAGAAAGGAGAAAAUUUCGAAAAUUAUAUUUGGAUAAAAGAAAUGUUUCAAAAUUUGCAUUAAUGUUUAUUUAACUUUUCACAUUAUUUUAUGUUUUCUUACAAUCAAAAUUAAGCUACAUUUUUUUGAUAUUUUA